AUUGAACGCUGGCGGCAGGCCUAACACAUGCAAGUCGAACGAGUGGCGGAAGGGUGAGUAAUGUCUGGGCAACUUCCUGAUGGAGGGCGACCACAACUGGAAACGGUAGCUACUUCCGUACUCCAUCGGCUGUGCCCAGAUGGCAUUAGCUAGUGGGUGGGGUAAAGGCUCACCUAGGCGACGAUCCCUAGCUGGUCUGAGAGGAUGACCAGCCACACUGGAACUGAGACACGGUCCAGACUCCUACGGGAGGCAGCAGGGGGGAAUAUUGCACAAUUGGCGCAAGCCUGAUGCAGCCAUGCCGCGUGUGUGAAGAAGGCCUUCGGAUUGUAAAAUACUUUCAGCGGGGAGGCGUUACCCGCAGAAAAAGCCCCGGCUAACUCCGUGCCAGCAGCCGCGGUAAUAC
rnacentral:rRNA from 1 species